GUGGGGAAUCUUCCGCAAUGGACGAAAGUCUGACGGAGCAACGCCGCGUGAGUGAUGAAGGUCUUCGGAUUGUAAAGCUCUGUUAAUCGGGACGAAAGAGCCUAGUGUGAAUAAUGCUAGGAAGUGACGGUACCGGAAUAGAAAGCCACGGCUAACUCCGUGCCAGCAGCCGCGGUAAUACGUAGGUGGCAAGCGUUGUCCGGAAUUAUUGUGCGUAAAGCGCGCGCAGGCGGAUCUGCCAGUCUGUCUUAAAAGUUCGGGGCUUAACCCCGUGAUGGGAUGGAAACUACAGAUCUAGAGUAUCGGAGAGGAAAGUGGAAUUCCUAGUGUAGCGGUGAAAUGCGUAGAUAUUAGGAAGAACACCAGUGGCGAAGGCGACUUUCUGGACGAAAACUGACGCUGAGGCGCGAAAGCCAGGGGAGCGAACGGGAUUAGAAACCCGUGUAGUCC
rnacentral:rRNA from 1 species